UGGGGAAUAUUGGACAAUGGGGGGAACCCUGAUCCAGCCAUGCCGCGUGUGUGAAGAAGGCCUUUUGGUUGUAAAGCACUUUAAGCGAGGAGGAGGCGCUUUAGGCUAAUACCCUAGAUGCGUGGACGUUACUCGCAGAAUAAGCACCGGCUAACUCUGUG
rnacentral:rRNA from 1 species